rnacentral:rRNA from 1 species
UACGUAGGCAGCGAGCGUUGUUCGGAGUUACUGGGCGUAAAGGGUGCGUAGGUGGCUCUAUAAGUAUGGUGUGAAAUCUCCCGGCUUAACUGGGAGGGUGCGCCGUAGACUGUGGGGCUAGAGUGUGGGAGAGGAAAGUGGAAUUCCUGGUGUAGCGGUGAAAUGCGUAGAUAUCAGGAGGAACACCGGUGGUGUAAACGGCUUUCUGGACCAUAACUGACACUGAGGCACGAAAGCGUGGGUAGCAAACAGG